AAAGUGAAACACUGUGUGUUUUCGAACAAAUGCAGAGUGUUUUACUUUGCCUAGUGGCGGACGGGUGAGUAAUGCGUGAGCAACCUGCCGAAAAGUGGGGAAUAACGGUUGGAAACAGCCGCUAAUACCGCAUAGUAUACAUAUUUCGCAUGAGAUUUGUAUUAAAGAUUUAUCGCUUUUUGAUGGGCUCACGUCCGAUUAGUUUGUUUGUGAGGUAAUGGCUCACCAAGACUGCGAUCGGUAGCCGGGCUGAGAGGCUGGACGGCCACAUUGGGACUGAGACACGGCCCAAACUCCUACGGGAGGCAGCAGUGGGGGAUAUUGCACAAUGGAGGAAACUCUGAUGCAGCAACGCCGCGUGAGGGAUGAAGGUUUUCGGAUUGUAAACCUCUGUCCUCGGGGAAGAAUUUUGACGGUACCCGGGGAGGAAACUCCGGCUAACUACGUGCCAGCAGCCGCGGUAAUACGUAGGGAGUAAGCGUUGUCCGGAUUUAUUGGGUGUAAAGGGUGCGUAGGCGGCUUGGCAAGUCAGGCGUGUAAUUCAGGGGCUCAACCUCUGGACUGCGCUUGAAACUGCUUGGCUUGAGUGAAGUAGAGGCAGAUGGAAUUUCCAGUGUAGCGGUAAAAUGCAUAGAUAUUGGAAGGAACACCGGUGGCGAAGGCGAUCUGCUGGGCUUUUACUGACGCUGAGGCACGAAAGUGUGGGGAGCAAACAGGAUUAGAUACCCUGGUAGUCCACACUGUAAACGAUGAUUACUAUGUGUGGGGGGUCUGACCCCUUCCGUGCCGCAGUUAACACAAUAAGUAAUCCACCUGGGGAGUACUGCCGCAAGGUUGAAACUCAAAGGAAUUGACAGGGGCCCGCACAAGCAGUGGAGUAUGUGGUUUAA
rnacentral:rRNA from 1 species